CGGUGGGCCCUUCACCUGCUCCGGGUCUUCGGCAGGACUUUGGCAGCGGGUCCUUCAGUGCUGCUGAAGACAUGGAGCAAGUGAAGGACCCGCUGCCGCCGAAGACUCGGAGCGCCGCCCGGUGAGUGGAAGCGCCGCAGUGGGUGGCACCCUUUUUUAUGUCUGCUCCCCUGCUUUGCCCCAGGCCCCCUGAAUCCUCUGGGCGGCCCUGGCAGUUGGUGUCAUUUUGGGGGGGUUAAACUAAUGUUUACAACAAACCAAACUGAAGUGAGUGUAAUGUAGGUGAAAGGUGCUGGCCUGGAGCCCUAGAUACUGAGUUCUCUGUGCAGGGGCAGAGUAGGACAAGCAGCCUCCUUGUGGUCCUCCUCCAGGAGUCAAAGGGGAGUGUGCUCUCCAGUCAGCCCAUUGCACAUGAGAGCUGUAGCACAUGGAGGAUGUUCCUCCCAGACUACCAACUGCAUGGCUGUUCCCAGUGGGCCCUGCUCGCUGCUGGCAUCGUGACUGGACCCUGGUCUGCCGUGUCCCUCUUCCUAAGUAAAGUAACAUGACAAACCAAAAAACUCUGAUUUGGACUCAAGUCCUGUUUCUCAUUUCCCCCAAGACCCAGAGGGGAGGGGCUCUGCCUGGGCCCAUAAAGCAUAUGUCAGUCCCAGCACUGUAAUGAGAGUUCUGUUUGACCUGGGUGAAGCCUAAAAAGUUAAAUAAUCAGACUGUUCAUAAGUGCUUGGCUUCCCCAGCCAAGCCUUUGGUGGGUCAUGGAGGCACAUCUCAGAGCCGAGCCCCCAGCCAUGCUACAGAACCACAUCAUCUCAGAGCCGAGCCCCCAGCCAUGUCGUCUCAGAGCCGAGCCCCUAGCCAUGUCGUCUCAGAGCCGAGCCCCUAGCCAUGCUACGGAAUAACAUUGUCUCAGAGCCGAGCCCCAAACGUGUAUGGAACUGCGUCAUCUCAGAGCUGAGCCCCCAGCCAUGUCAUCUGAGCCGAGCCCCAAGCCAUGUCGUCUCAGAGCCGAGCCCUCAGCCAUGCUAUGGAACCACGUCAUCUGAGAGUUGAACCCCAGCCAUGUCGCCUCUGAGCUGAGCCCCUGACGUGCUAUGGAACCACAUCAUCUCAGAGGCGAGCCCCCAGCCAUGCUAUGGAACCAUGUCGUCUCAGAGCCGAGCCCCCAGCCAUGUCGCCUCAGAGCCGAGCUCCUGACAUGCUACGGAAUCACAUCAUCUCAGAGCUGAACCCUUGAUGUGCUACGGAAUUACAUCAUCUCAGAGCCGAGCCCUCGACGUGCUACGGAAUCACAUCUUCUCAGAGCUGAGCCCCCAGCCAUGUCAUCUCAGAGCCGAGCCCCCGACGUGCUACGGAAUCACAUCUCAGAGCCGAGCCCGAGACGUGCUACAGAACGAUGUCAUCUGAGAGUUGAGCCCCAGCCAUGUCGUCUCAGAGCCGAGCCCGUGGGAAUGCCACUGGAGCCACAUCAUCUCAGAGCCUCACCUCGCCUGUGCUACCAGAGCCACGUCAUCUUGGGGCUCAUAAGCACUAAAAUUUAAUGAAAAGAAGAAAAGAACCCCCUGAAGCGAUAAGCAUCGGGACUGUCGGAAGUAGGAAAAGAGACCAGCACAUGGCAAUGAGGACAAACAGAUCAAAGAGGAAGAAAGACAGAAGGAAACACUCCACCCAAGCAGCAAGCUUCCCCACCGCAGUGGCACAGCACCCCUGAGUCCCACCGCGAAGGCCUGGAAAAGCAGGAGGGAGCAUCAGAUCAUGGGCGCCUGAGCCAGGCUCUGGAGCGGGGAGCAGCGCGUGGUGCCCAGCUGCAGCAGGGCAGUGCUUCAUUUGUCAGGCAGUGAAAAGUCUCCUCAGCUCCUGGGCCAGUG